GGGCAUAUGGCAAAAUGGUUACCCGCGUUCGACUUUGGCUCGAAAGAUUGCAGGUUUAAGUCCUGCUAUGCUCA